AACGAACGCUGGCGGCAGGCCUAACACAUGCAAGUCGAGCGCCCCGCAAGGGGUGCGGCGGCCGGGUGAGUAACGCGUGGGAAUAUGCCCUUUGCUACGGAAUAGUCUCGGGAAACUGGGGGUAAUACCGUAUACGCCCUUUGGGGGAAAGAUUUAUCGGCGAAGGAUUAGCCCGCGUUGGAUUAGGUAGUUGGUGGGGUAAUGGCCUACCAAGCCGACGAUCCAUAGCUGGUUUGAGAGGAUGAUCAGCCACACUGGGACUGAGACACGGCCCAGACUCCUACGGGAGGCAGCAGUGGGGAAUCUUAGACAAUGGGGGCAACCCUGAUCUAGCCAUGCCGCGUGAGUGAUGAAGGCCUUAGGGUUGUAAAGCUCUUUCAGCUGGGAAGAUAAUGACGGUACCAGCAGAAGAAGCCCCGGCUAACUCCGUG
rnacentral:rRNA from 1 species